UACGGGAGGCAGCAGUGGGGAAUAUUGCACAAUGGGCGCAAGCCUGAUGCAGCCAUGCCGCGUGUAUGAAAAAGGCCUUCGGGUUGUAAAGUACUUUCAGUCGUGAGGAAGGUGUUAAGGUUAAUAACCUUAGCAAUUGACGUUAGCGACAGAAGAAGCACCGGCUAACUCCGUGCCAGCAGCCGCGGUAAUACGGAGGGUGCGAGCGUUAAUCGGAAUUACUGGGCGUAAAGGGCACGCAGGCGGUUAAUUAAGUUGGAUGUGAAAUCCCCGGGCUUAACCUGGGAAUGGCAUUCAAGACUGGUUAGCUAGAGUCUUGUAGAGGGGGUAGAAUUCCGAUGUGUAGCGGUGAAAUGCGUAGAGAUGUGGAGGAAUACCGGUGGCGAAGGCGGCCCCUGGACAAAGGACUGACGCUCGAUGUGCGAAAGCGUGGGGAGCAAACAGGGAUUAGAUACC
rnacentral:rRNA from 1 species